AAGCUGCCAAAAACGUUUGAUUGCAAGAGAAGAUGCCUAAAAUUCUCCAGUGGAAGUUCAUAAGUUUUUCUUCUCCUUUGCUCCCUUUCAUAUAAAGAAAUUUCUGUUUACAGGUUUCAUUUCUAUGAAAAGUGAAAUGGAAUAGUUAGCAGCUCUUGAAUGUCCAGCAGUUCUUGUGUUUAUGCCUGACCUGCUGCUCUGGGAUGACUUGUAGUGUCAACAGAAGUCCUGACCUCCAGAAGUAGGAAGAGACAAGGAGGUGAUUAGCCUCACCUGACAUGCAGACAAGGGAGAGCUGAGAUUCAUUUUGCAUAGAUCCAGCUAGAUAGCUCAUACCACUUAUGCUGGUUUGACUGAAAAUGAGUUAAUUUUCUUCAUGCAGUUAGAAGCCUUUCUCUUUCAUAACUAGCACAGUCAUUAUUUGGACUUAGUUAGAGAACAAGAAACACCCCAGCACAGAGAUAAUGUUUUUAAUUGCUCUGGCCUGAGAGCCAAGGACAUUCUAAGCAUUCUGCCCACAGGUGUGAGGCAUCGAGGAAGGAGGGCAUGGCUGGAGCAGAGCUUGACUGACAUCCAGACUGAUCAAUGAGAGUAUUCCAUCCUAUUAGUGUCAUAAUUCAUAUUUAAGGAGAGUGGGGAACUACCAGUCUCUCUCUUGUGUUUUUCUUUGCUCUUUUUGUCAGAGCUAGGGGAAUUCUGUUUAGGACAUUUAGUUCAGCCUUUUGCCAUUUUGCAGAGGCAUCUGGGCCUUUCUGCCUUUUUUCCUUCUUUUCAGGAUUGGCUGUUCUAGACCAGGUGCUGCUUUUUGGGACUGUCUGCUCGGUGUGGACAGAGCUCAUGAGGAAUUGCAUUGAAACUAUUGGCUGAAGAAAUUAUUUUCAUGGCUUAGUGUAUACAUACAGAAGGAAAAUGGUCUCCUUCAAAACAAAAGUCCUUGCUCUGUGUAAAACAAAUCUAGGGCAGAGAUGGUUUUGAUGUCACAGAAAAAGCCACAUUGUAAUGGACCACUGACAAGAAACUGAAGUAAUAGGGUAAGAAGCGGAUCAGGAUGUGACAGAAAAGACUCUCAGGACAAAAAUAAAAGUUUAAUACAUCACAUAAGGACUUUGACGCUCAGCACAGGCAAUUAAUUGAAGAAAAACAGUGAAACAAGGUUUGAAAGACACUUCCAUAUUUUUUUCAGACAUUUUGAUCCUCUUGAUAAAAAUGAGAAAAGAAAAAAGAGACAAGAAAAAGAGAGGCAGCAAACUCUGCCCCUGUCUCCCUAAAAGACAGUUAUCUGGAAUAUCUGGUGCCUUAGCAUCUGGAAUCUAAUUUCUGAAUAAACUCUGCUUAUAUGCUUCACUUAUAUAUCAUUUCAGUACUUGGUUUCUCAUAUAAAGUCUGACCACUGGGAACUCAUAUUUGUUUGCUCGUGACAGACUGAAAAUCUCCAGUAAUAAAGGGUGUUUAAUCAGGGAUCCUCAUACCCCUGAGAAGUGUU